UAGGGAAUAUUAGAAAUGGACGAAAGUCUGAUCUAGCAACACCGCGUGUGCGAAGAAGGCCUUUGGGUCGUAAAGCACUUUUUGGAAGGAAUAGGAAGGAAUGUACUUCCAGAAUAAGUCUCGGCUAACUACGUGCCAGCAGCCGCGGUAACACGUAGGAGGCAAACGUUAUCCGGAUUUACUGGGCGUAAAGCGCGUGUAGGUGGUACUGUAAGUAGGGCGUGAAAGCUCCUGGCUCAACUGGGAGAGGCCGUUCUAAACUACAGAACUAGAGGAUGGUAGAGGGAGGUGGAAUUCCAGGUGUAGCGGUGGAAUGCGCAGAUAUCUGGAGGAACACCAGUGGCGAAAGCGGCCUCCUGGACCAUUCCUGACACUCAGACGCGAAAGCUAGGGUAGCAAACGG
rnacentral:rRNA from 1 species